GACGAACGCUGGCGGCAGGCCUAACACAUGCAAGUCGAGCGAGACCUUCGGGCCUAGCGGCGGACGGGUGAGUAACGCGUGGGAACGUGCCCUUUGCUACGGAAUAGCCCCGGGAAACUGGGAGUAAUACCGUAUGUGCCCUUCGGGGGAAAGAUUUAUCGGCAAAGGAUCGGCCCGCGUUGGAUUAGGUAGCUGGUGGGGUAAUGGCCUACCAAGCCGACGAUCCAUAGCUGGUUUGAGAGGAUGAUCAGCCACACUGGGACUGAGACACGGCCCAGACUUCUACGGGAGGCAGCAGUGGGGAAUCUUAGACAAUGGGGGAAACCCUGAUCUAGCCAUGCCGCGUGAGCGAUGAAGGCCUUAGGGUUGUAAAGCUCUUUCAGGUGGGAAGAUAAUGACGGUACCACCAGAAGAAGCCCCGGCUAACUCCGUGCCAGCCGCCGCAGUAA
rnacentral:rRNA from 1 species